CAGUCGCCACGGUAAUACGUAGGUGGCAAGCGUUGUCCGGAAUUAUUGGGCGUAAAGCGCGCGCAGGCGGGUAGGUCAGUCUGUCUUAAAAGUUCGGGGCUUAACCCCGUGAUGGGAUGGAAACUGCCAAUCUAGAGUAUCGGAGAGGAAAGCGGAAUUCCUAGUGUAGCGGUGGAAUGCGUAGAUAUUAGGAAGAACACCAGUGGCGAAGGCGACUUUCUGGACUAAAACUGACGCUGAGGCACGAAAGUGUGGGUAGCAAACAGGAUUAGAUACCCCAGUAGUCCCUGUCUCUUAUACA
rnacentral:rRNA from 1 species